rnacentral:rRNA from 1 species
AUGCAACGCGAAGAACCGUUACCAGGCCUUGACAUGCAGAGAACUUUCCAGAGAUGGAUUGGUGCCUUCGGGAACUCUGACACAGGUGCUGCAUGGCUGUCGUCAGCUCGUGUCGUGAGAUGUUGGGUUAAGUCCCGUAACGAGCGCAACCCUUGUCCUUAGUUACCAGCACGUUAUGGUGGGCACGUCUAAGGAGACGUGCCGGUGACAAACCGGAGGAAGGUGGGGAUGACGUCAAGUCCUCAUGGCCUUUAUGACCAGGGCUACACACGUACUACAAUGGCCGAUACAAAGGGCAGCGACACUGCGAGGUGAAGCCAAUCCCGUAAAAUCGGUCUCAGUCCGGAUUGGAGUCUGCAACUCGACUCCAUGAAGUUGGAAUCGCUAGUAAUCGUGGAUCAGCAUGCCACGGUGAAUACGUUCCCGGGCCUU